UGGGGAAUUUUGGACAAUGGGGGAAACCCUGAUCCAGCCAUCCUGCGUGUGCGAUGAAGGCCUUCGGGUUGUAAAGCACUUUUGGCAGGAAAGAAACGUCAUGGGUUAAUACCCCGUGAAACUGACGGUACCUGCAGAAUAAGCACCGGCUAACUACGUGCCAGCAGCCGCGGUAAUACGUAGGGUGCAAGCGUUAAUCGGAAUUACUGGGCGUAAAGCAUGCGCAGGCGGUUCGGAAAGAAAGAUGUGAAAUCCCAGAGCUCAACUUUGGAACUGCAUUUUUAACUACCGGGCUAGAGUGUGUCAGAGGGAGGUGGAAUUCCGCGUGUAGCAGUGAAAUGCGUAGAUAUGCGGAGGAACACCGAUGGCGAAGGCAGCCUCCUGGGAUAACACUGACGCUCAUGCACGAAAGCGUGGGGAGCAAACAGG
rnacentral:rRNA from 1 species